rnacentral:rRNA from 1 species
CCAGACUCCUACGGGAGGCAGCAGUGAGGAAUAUUGGUCAAUGGGCGCGAGCCUGAACCAGCCAAGUCGCGUGAGGGAUGACGGCCCUACGGGUUGUAAACCUCUUUUGUCGGGGAGCAAAUUCCGCCACGUGUGGCGGAGUCGAGAGUACCCGAAGAAAAAGCAUCGGCUAACUCCGUGCCAGCAGCCGCGGUAAUACGGAGGAUGCGAGCGUUAUCCGGAUUUAUUGGGUUUAAAGGGUGCGUAGGCGGAAUGCCAAGUCAGCGGUAAAAUUGAGGGGCUCAACCUCUUCGAGCCGUUGAAACUGGUUUUCUUGAGUGAGUGAGAAGUAUGCGGAAUGCGUGGUGUAGCGGUGAAAUGCAUAGAUAUCACGCAGAACUCCGAUUGCGAAGGCAGCAUACCGGCGCUCAACUGACGCUCAUGCACGAAAGUGUGGGUAUCGAACAGGAUUAGAUACCCUCGUAA